rnacentral:rRNA from 1 species
UACGUAGGGUGCGAGCGUUAAUCGGAAUUACUGGGCGUAAAGCGUGCGCAGGCGGUUAUUUAAGUCAGGUGUGAAAGCCCUGGGCUUAACCUAGGAAUUGCGCUUGAGACUGGAUAGCUUGGAGUGCGGCAGAGGGAGGUGGAAUUCCACGUGUAGCAGUGAAAUGCGUAGAGAUGUGGAGGAACACCGAUGGCGAAGGCAGCCUCCUGGGCCGAGCACUGACGCUCAUGCACGAAAGCGUGGGGAG